rnacentral:misc_RNA from 1 species
GAUGAAGAACGUAGCGAAAUGCGAUAAGUAAUGUGAAUUGCAGAAUUCAGUGAAUCAUCGAAUCUUUGAACGCACAUUGCGCCCGCUAGUAUUCUGGCGGGCAUGCCUGUCCGAGCGUCAUUUCUACCCUCAAGCCCCCGGGCUUGGUGUUGGGGAUCGGCGAGCCUCCGCGCCCGCCGUCCCCUAAAUCUAGUGGCGGUCUCGCUGUAGCUUCCUCUGCGUAGUAGCACACCUCGCACUGGGAAACAGCGCGGCCACGCCGUUAAACCCCCAACUUCUGAACGUUUGACCUCGGAUCAGGUAGGAAUACCCGCUGAACUUAAGCAUAUCAAUAAGCGGAGGA